UACGGGGGGGGGCAAGCGUUGUUCGGAAUUACUGGGCGUAAAGGGCCAGUAGGCGGCCAACUAAGUCGGAUGUGAAAUCCCCCAGGCUCAACUUGGGAACUGCAUCCGAUACUGGAUGGCUUGAAUUCGGGAGAGGGAUGCAGAAUUCCAGGUGUAGCGGUGAAAUGCGUAGAUAUCUGGAGGAAUACCGGUGGCGAAGGCGGCAUCCUGGACCGACAUUGACGCUGAACGGCGAAAGCUAGGGGAGCAAACAGGA
rnacentral:rRNA from 1 species